rnacentral:rRNA from 1 species
GUCGAGCGAACUGAUUAGAAGCUUGCUUCUAUGACGUUAGCGGCGGACGGGUGAGUAACACGUGGGCAACCUGCCUGUAAGACUGGGAUAACUUCGGGAAACCGAAGCUAAUACCGGAUAGGAUCUUCUCCUUCAUGGGAGAUGAUUGAAAGAUGGUUUCGGCUAUCACUUACAGAUGGGCCCGCGGUGCAUUAGCUAGUUGGUGAGGUAACGGCUCACCAAGGCAACGAUGCAUAGCCGACCUGAGAGGGUGAUCGGCCACACUGGGACUGAGACACGGCCCAGACUCCUACGGGAGGCAGCAGUAGGGAAUCUUCCGCAAUGGACGAAAGUCUGACGGAGCAACGCCGCGUGAGUGAUGAAGGCUUUCGGGUCGUAAAACUCUGUUGUUAGGGAAGAACAAGUACGAGAGUAACUGCUCGUACCUUGACGGUACCUAACCAGAAAGCCACGGCUAACUACGUGCCAGCAGCCGCGGUAAUACGUAGGUGGCAAGCGUUAUCCGGAAUUAUUGGGCGUAAAGCGCGCGCAGGCGGUUUCUUAAGUCUGAUGUGAAAGCCCACGGCUCAACCGUGGAGGGUCAUUGGAAACUGGGGAACUUGAGUGCAGAAGAGAAAAGCGGAAUUCCACGUGUAGCGGUGAAAUGCGUAGAGAUGUGGAGGAACACCAGUGGCGAA